AUCAAUCAUACGUGGCGCAAGCCACUUAUAAUGAUAGUCUGUGGAAGGCUCAUUAUAACAGUUAUACACCUAGCCACUGGAAAGUUUACAAGGAUACCACCGUUAACUGCAGCGAUAAUACUUGUUCCCUUCGGGGUGGUGAUAGUAUUUGUGCUGAAUCCUAGCUAUCGUAACCCAAUUUUCCUGGUGUGUUCUCAUAUCAGGGGGGUUGGGAAUCCACCGCUAGCAGGCCGCACGGCGUGAAAGUGAGCUAACAAGGUUUUAAUAGGGCCUUUUAGGUUUACUUUUUCUAGUGGCCAGGCAGAGGUGUUUCUUACCUAUCAGCUCGUUGUUUGUUUAAAGGACAAACCAGGCUUUGACGGGUACGGGGAAUCAGUGUUCGAUUCCGGAGAGGGAGCCUGAAAGAUUGCUACCACAUCUAACGACGGCAGCCGGCGCGCAAAUUACCCAAUUCCAAUACGGANAGGUAGUGACAAGCUAUAGUGUCUCCACACCAUAGGUGGGGAGGUAUUAUCAUCAGAUAAUUUUCCAUGAUUUGGGUGUAAACAACCCUUAGAGCAGCCAUU
rnacentral:rRNA from 1 species